CCGCCUCAAGCGUCCGCCCCUCAGGCCCCUGUUCGACUGUUCUGUUCGCAAGGCACGCCGGUCACCUUUUCCGCCCAGUCGCUCUCUCAGGCUCUCACUAUUUCGCACUCACUCAAUCUCCCUCUCAAUCUCUCAUUCAGUCUGAUAUGUUCUUUUUAACAACUCUAUCAGUCAAUCUAAGAGAAGUUCAAUUUGUACCGAGAAUUGGUGACCAUAAGAUGGAGAUUUCUUCAAGUGUUGAAAAACGGAAGCUCCCAGAAGAAAAUUCAGAGGUGAUGGAUGCUGAAAUUAAGAACCAAGAACUGGUAUCAAAGAAGCAACGGUUUGUGGCACGAACUUGUGUGCAUGAGGUAGCUGUUCCAAGUGGGUAUACUUCCAGUAAGGACAAAACAGUUCAUGGGACAUUAUCCGAUCCAAUUUAUAGUGGGAAGAUGGCUAAAGCAUACCCAUUUGUUCUCGAUCCAUUUCAGCAAAUUUCUGUGUCAUGUUUGGAGCGGAAAGAAUCAGUUCUAGUAUCAGCACAUACAUCAGCUGGGAAAACGGCUGUUGCAGAGUAUGCAAUUGCGAUGGCUUUUAGAGACAAGCAAAGGGUCAUCUAUACCUCUCCAUUGAAAGCUUUGAGCAAUCAGAAAUACAGAGAACUGAGUCAGGAGUUUUCUGAUGUUGGGUUGAUGACUGGUGACGUCACACUUUCCCCAAAUGCAAGUUGCCUGGUCAUGACAACAGAGAUUCUUAGGGGAAUGCUUUACAGAGGAUCUGAGGUUUUAAAAGAAGUUGCAUGGGUUAUAUUUGAUGAGAUUCACUAUAUGAAGGAUCGUGAACGUGGGGUCGUUUGGGAAGAGAGCAUCAUAUUUUUGCCUCCAGCUAUCAAGAUGGUCUUUCUUUCCGCGACCAUGUCGAAUGCUACCGAGUUUGCAGAAUGGAUAUGCAACAUACAUAAACAGCCUUGUCAUGUGGUCUACACUGAUUUCAGACCCACACCUCUGCAGCAUUAUGUGUUUCCCAUGGGUGGAUCAGGAUUGUAUCUUGUAGUGGAUGAGAAUGAGCAGUUUAGAGAGGAUAAUUUUUUGAAGCUGCAAGACACUUUCACUAAGCAGAAGCAAACUGGUGCAAAUCUAGGUGGAAAUUCCAAACCGAGUGGGAGAAUUGCUAAAGGAGGAAAUGCUUCUGGUGGAUCUGAUAUAUACAAAAUCGUCAAGAUGAUCAUGGAAAGAAAAUUUCAACCAGUUAUAAUUUUCAGCUUUAGCAGAAGAGAGUGUGAGCAACAUGCAAUGUCGAUGACCAAACUUGAUUUCAAUAGCCAGGAAGAGAAAGAUGUGGUGGAGCAAGUCUUCCGAAAUGCAAUACUGUGCUUGAGUGAGGAGGAUAGAAACCUCCCUGCAAUUGAGCUGAUGUUGCCUAUGUUGCAGCGAGGCAUUGCUGUUCAUCAUUCUGGCCUUCUUCCUAUUAUCAAGGAACUGGUAGAACUCUUAUUCCAAGAAGGCCUUGUAAAAGCACUUUUUGCCACAGAGACGUUUGCUAUGGGGUUGAACAUGCCUGCAAAAACAGUUGUCUUUACUAGUGUAAGGAAAUGGGACGGUGAUAGCCAUCGGUAUGUAGGAUCUGGUGAGUAUAUUCAGAUGAGUGGAAGAGCUGGACGUCGUGGCAAAGACGAACGUGGUAUAUGCAUCAUAAUGAUUGAUGAACAGAUGGAGAUGAAUACUCUCAAGGACAUGGUCUUGGGGAAACCAGCUCCACUGGUCAGUACCUUCAGGCUGAGCUACUACUCAAUUUUGAACUUAAUGAGACGUGCUGAGGGCCAAUUUACGGCAGAGCAUGUUAUCAGAAACUCUUUUCACCAGUUUCAGUAUGAAAAGACCUUACCUGAUAUAGGAAAAAAGGUUGCCAAGUUAGAAGAGGAAGUAGCCAAGCUUGAUGCUUCUGGAGAGGCUGACGUUGCUGAAUAUCAUAAGCUUAAGCUUGAAAUAUCUGAACUUGAGAAGAAGAUGAUGGCAGAAAUAACAAGGCCUGAGAGAGCUCUAUAUUUUCUUCUACCUGGUAGGCUGGUUAAGGUUCGAGAAGCUGGAACAGAUUGGGGGUGGGGAGUGGUUGUCAAUGUGGUGAAAAAGCCUGCCCCACCACUAGGCUUAUUGCCCCCUACCAUGUCUUCAUCACGUGGUAGUAGCUAUAUAGUGGACACUUUGCUUCAUUGUUCUAUUGGUUCAAGCGAAAGUGGUUCUCGUCCAAGGCCAUGUCCACCACGUUCUGGACAGAAGGGCGAAAUGCAUGUGGUUCCUGUUCAAUUGCCCUUGAUAUCAGCAUUGAGCAAGCUCAGAAUAUCAAUUCCUCCUGAUCUCCGUCCAAUGGAAGCACGACAAAGCAUACUAUUGGCAGUACAGGAGCUUGGAAAACGUUUUCCUCAAGGUCUUCCAAAACUUAAUCCUGUGAAGGUGUUGGAGCCUAUAUAUAUCAGAGUAGUCACUACUGAGAAGCUGGCCACUUUUCUUUCUCAUGAUAUGGGCAUAGAAGAACCUGAGUUUGUGCACCUGGUAAAUCAGAUUGAGAAACUUGAACAGCAAUUGCUUUCUCAUCCAUUAAACAAGUCUCAAGAUGAAAACCAGAUGAAAUGUUUCCAGAGGAAAGCAGAAGUGAAUCAUGAAAUUCAGCAGUUGAAAACAAAAAUGCGUGAUUCGCAGCUUCAAAAAUUCCGUGAUGAACUAAAGAACCGAUCACGGGUUCUAAAGAAGCUUGGACAUAUUGAUGCUGAAGGAAUAGUGCAAGUGAAGGGCCGUGCAGCAUGCUUGAUCGACACAGGAGACGAACUACUGGUCACUGAAUUGAUGUUUAAUGGAGCUGGUUUUAUCCCAGAGAAAGGAGGGUCAGAUUUAGUAGCUGUUAGUCAGGUACCUUCAAUGAUCUGGAUCAUCAUCAAAUUGCAGCCCUUGCAAGUUGUUUUAUUCCAGGAGAUAAAUCAAGUGAGCAAAUACAUUUAAGAUCAGAACUUGCUAAACCGUUGCAACAACUUCAAGACAGUGCACGUAGAAUAGCAGAGAUACAACAUGAAUGCAAAUUGGAAGUUAAUGUGGAUGAGUAUGUGGAGGCAGCAGUUAGACCAUUCUUGAUGGAUGUCAUAUAUUGUUGGUCAAAAGGAUCAUCUUUUUCUGAAGUUAUACAAAUGACAGAUAUCUUUGAAGGGAGUAUUAUUAGACUUGCUAGAAGGCUUGAUGAGUUUCUUAAUCAGUUGCGUGCUGCUGCACAUGCUGUUGGAGAAGCUGGUUUAGAGGACAAGUUUGGUGCAGCCAGUGAGAGCCUCCGUAGAGGUAUCAUGUUUGCAAAUUCUCUAUAUCUGUGAGUACGAUUAUCUUAGAUUUGGAAAAUGCUCGUUAGCGUGAUAGAUACACCACAUAAAGUUUGCUGGUGUAGGAUUCUAUUGAUUCAUAUCAAAGGGUCACUUUUAACACAGUAGUUGUUUGCAUUCCUGUUGGAUGAGAUGUUGUACUAGUGUACAUUGGCAGUUGUAUUUGUUAAAACUCUAUGGAAAGAAUAGUGUCAGAUUGAUACACUGUUGCUAUCUACAUCCUCAUAAUCAUCUUAUUCUGAUCUCAUGUGUGAGUCCAUUACAUGAGUCUACAUGGAUCCCAUGGCAAUGGAUUCUUAGAUUACGUUUGACAAACUAACUGAUAAGCUAAUAAAUUGGUUGUAAGCCGAUAAACUAGUCGAUAAGUUAGAUGAUAAUGUAAAUGGCCUAGGACAUGUUGAAAAAUUAAAUAAAAAAGAAUAGAGCCCUUGGAGGUUAUUGAAACACU